rnacentral:rRNA from 1 species
UACAGCGGGGGCAAGCGUUGUUCGGAAUUACUGGGCGUAAAGGGCGCGUAGGCGGCCUUCUAAGUCGAACGUGAAAUCCCCGGGCUCAACCCGGGAACUGCGUCCGAUACUGGAAGGCUUGAAUCCGGGAGAGGGAUGCGGAAUUCCAGGUGUAGCGGUGAAAUGCGUAGAUAUCAGGAGGAACACCGGUGGCGAAGGCGGGUCUCUGGGCCGAUACUGACGCUGAGGAGCGAAAGCGUGGGGAGCGAACAGG